CAUUCCCCCCGAUCCCCCGCUCACCUGAAGGAACAGUUGUGCUGGUUGGUCCAGUUCGAGCGCGUGGGUUUAGUCAGAGGCUUUGGAGCUCGCCCCGCGGGUUUCGCGGGAGGGUCGUUGCCGGGCUGAUGCGCGCGCCCAUGGCCGCGGCGCGUUGGCGGCGGGCGGCGGCGGCGGCGGCGGCGGCGGCGGCUGCGGUGCUGGUGCUGGUGAUGGGCGCGGGGCUUCCCGCGGGUUGCGCCGCGCAGGAGGGGGAGGAGGUGGUGGUGGCCAGCUACGGGCAGGGCAGGCUCUGGCUUAAGCCCUACGACUGGACCUACCUGCGUGUUGAGUUGCCGCCCUCGUUUUCCUCGGUCACCAUGGAUUUCGAAACUGACAUGGACAUUCAGAGGGAGCACAUGAAAGGCAUUCCAAGAAGCGAGCUUGCUAUUAUCUGUUUGAUGAAUUCCAACCCUCCUAUUCCUGAUAUAUCAGAAUCUUAUCUAGACAGUUUAUUAUCAAACUUUCUCCCAUCUGGACCUUUUGGCAACGGCAAUAUAAUUAAUCAGUCAAAUCUGGCGCAAUGCUUACCAUUUCAGAAAAACAUAACAGUUGUGCGAACAAAUGACCAGAUAUCUCCAGGGGUAUGGUACAUUGGGUAUUUUCAUGGCAUCGGCCCUGCUCGCACACAAUCAAAGAUGAUUAGCAGAGGAAAAGCACGCUUGGUGAGCACCCACAUUACUGUAAGAGAAUGCCCUACUUCAGCAUUUUGGGGACCCUACUGCAACCAAACUGUUGAAAUGAUUGGUUGUUCUCAACCUUCAAUAGAUAAUAAUAACUCAAGGAAUCUUCUAGAUCUGAACAUUGAGAGGAGAAACAGUUGGUAUCCUAGAGAGCAUAAUAGGCGUAUUAAUAUCCUAUCUCAGAGUCAAUUAGUAGAAAAGGAAGUUGGAUCUAAUGUUACAGCCCUGGCGAGAAUGGAAAACUCAGUCACUUGUUCCAUUUCUAAUAACUCAUUAUGCGUCAGGCAAGGCGACAUGAAGUUCUACUUCUUGGAUGUAGUCGACUUAGCAUUGCAGUUUGAAAUUACAGCUGCAAACUUUGGAGUUAUAGAGCCAUCCUUGAUUUGUUACCUGCGGUAUAAUGCCUUUCCUCAAAGGGAUCUUCAUGACUAUUCAGGUGAUAUCAGCCACGAUCCUUUGGUUGUGAAGUUACCAAAUAUUGGGCGUUGGUAUAUUGCUAUUGAGACUGUCAAUAAAACACAGAUGAAUAAUACAGCAUCAAAGCCUGUUCUAGAUACUAUGUGUUUCUCACUGAAGUGGCAAUUGACUGGAUGCUUGAAUGGAAAAACUGGAACAAAUUGCUCUUGGGAGGUAUACGGACUCCAGAGGGUUCCAAGGAGAAGUCCUUCUAUCCCGUUUGAGUCAUAUUAUAUUCCUAGUGAUGAAAGGGCAUCUCUGGAAGAUAGCCACUUCUAUUUGGAGCAAUUUCUAAGCAACUCAUCCCAUGAGCAGAUUGCAUGGACAUAUUUCUUUUUGGAUGUUCCUCGAGGUUCAGCCGGUGCACUUAUCCAUGUCCAGCUUAAGUCAGAUAAAGAAUUGAACUACGAGUUGUACUCGAAAUAUGGUGGCUUGCCAUCCAACGAUAUUUGGGAUUAUUAUGCGAGUAGGACAAGCAGCAGUAAUAGCUCGGUAUUUUUUUCAUUACAGAAUUCCACGAAUUCAGACAUGGAUCUAUCAAUUUUCUAUGCUAAAGAGGGAACUUGGUGCUUUGGGGUGAAGCAUCCAACUGAUACGGCAAAUUCUCAGACGUAUAUGUCUGUAUCCCUUCAGGGUUGCCAUAGAAAUUGCAAUCAGAAAGGUGUGUGUCAUUCCUCAGUUGAUGAAAGUGGGCUGACAUUCUACAGUUUCUGCACAUGUGAUCGUGAUCAUGGUGGGUUUGAUUGCAGCGAUGAGCUAGUUUCCCCUAAUGGGCACAUUUGGCAGUCUGUCUUUCUAAUCGCCUCAAAUGCUGCAGCUAUUUUACCUGCCUUCUGGGCCCUCAGGCAAAAGGCAUUUGCAGAAUGGAUUCUUUACACAUCUAGUGGAAUUUCCAGUGCAUUAUACCAUUCAUGUGAUGUGGGAACCUGGUGCAUUCUAUCAUUUCGUGUAUUACAGUUUUUAGACUUCUGGCUUUCCUUCAUGGCUGUUGUGGGUACAUUCAUAUGUAUGGCUACAAUUGAUGAAGCUUCAAAGCGAGCAAUGCAUACAGCUGUUUUUAUCCUCACAGCUCUUUUAGCUGCAACUGGUGCAACAAGAUCUGCAAAUAUUGGAAUCGUCAUUGCGAUUGGUUCUCUUGGCCUGCUUAUGGGAUGGUUAUUGGAAUUCUCUACAGCAAGAAGAUUUAUAUGCUGGCCCUGGCAAAUUAAUCUUAGUAUGCCUCAAAGUUGGGCAAACUUUGGGACUUUGUUCCGGAAUACUCUGGAGGUGUUGAACAAACGCUUCCGUUGGAUAUUUCUACUUUUGGGUUUCAUCACAUUAUCAUUUGCGGCUACGAGCUGGAAACUGGAAUCGAAUAGCAACUACUGGAUUUGGCACAGGCAACCAAACCGUGGUGCUGAAACCUUUUCCGUGCGCCUUUUGCACUUGUUUCCUUGCCUGAAGCCACCAAUUAGCAAGCAGCUGGACUCUGACAGGCACAAAUGCUACAGUUCGAUGUGGCAGAGAGAACCCUAAACUACGUCUCUCGAACAUGUGCAAAACUGAGCAUAAGAUGGUUGAUGGUUUCUGGCUCCUGUGCACAGAGGGCAGAGUUGUUGCUAUCCCACGGGCCAUGACGACGUAGCCAGAUAGGACUCCAAGAGCGACCAAGCACAUUAUAAGAGGGCCUGGGAUAUUCGUUGACCAGGGAGCCCGUUCAUGAGAAUUAGUGCUUGGUGAUCCAGUUUGUCCAAACACUCAGAAAGCCCAGAAAUUGGAGGUCGGAGGAAGACCCAUGACACUGACAAAAGCUUUGGCGAUGUCCAGUUUUAUGAGGAGACUUGGAAUGUGUUCGUCAUGCAGAAUCUUUGCAGCUCCCUGGAUGUACCUGAAGUUGUCUUGGGUACGUCUGUUUUUUUAUGAAAGCGCUUUGGUUGUGUCUGACCAUAAGUUUCAGGGGUACGGAAGCGGUCCGCCAAUGCUUUGGAGAAGAGCUCACUGAAGCUGUCAAUUAAACUUAUUGAUCUAUUGCCAUUCAACAUUGUUGGCUCUUGCUUCUUGGGUAUCAUUAGGGAGUUAUUCAGGUGAUGAAAACUUCUACUGUCCAUCUGAGCCAGCAUGUUGAGAACCCUGAUCACAUCACGUUUGAUGAUUGGCCAUGCGGUUUUGCAGAAGUAACAUCAUGUGGCACAUAACUAUAUAUACUUCUUCAUUUUUCUUCUUGUGCUCAAUGCGGGUAAACUCAAGGAACCGCAGUCCAGAGUCAAACUAUGAGUUAACGAGGCAAGACUCCUUGCCCAGGUCAGAACAAAGGGAGACCUAGCUAGUAAGGAACGAGGGUGAUCACAAUCCACGUCCUUCUCAUAGCGAUUUAAAUGUUUAUGUACGAUGGUUUCAUACAAGAAUUGGCUGAGUUGGAUUUUGGCUGGAUUCGUUUUUGGUGGAGUUGGGUUAGAUUCGUUCAACGGUAUGCAGGGCUGUCUGUGUAGGUACAUGGCUUCUGUUGCCGUCGGGGCGCUCAAUAACUUGAACAAUCGUAGAAGUGGGAUUUGGGAACUUCACCGUCAGCUGCAUCGCAUGAAAAUUGUAAAUAGCGUGUUGCUGGCAAAACAUCUUUUUGUGGGACGUUCGUUACAUGUAAAUGUGUUGUAAGCAUACGCUAUUCCAAAAUGGAACAAACCUGUUUGAGAAUUUUGCUUUCGUGCA